GGACGGUAGGAAUUCCGAUACCGGAGUCUAGCCGGGUAUUACAUUCUCCCCCCCUUAAGAACAUUCAUCCCCGAAUGUUCCUCAACUAGCACAUAGCAUGGCAUAAAACAUAACAUACAUACAUAGCACAUAAACACAUAGAGAUCUAACCUUAAAAGAGAUGAGGGUACUGCUGGAGCAUAGACUCCCGUGUCUCCCAAGUGCAUUC
rnacentral:lncRNA from 1 species